GUCCAGUCUUGCUCUGUUUCCCGUCACCAUCUAGUGAAGCUGGCCUUAGCAAAGCACUCGAGUUGCAGUUUUCGUGCAACACACAACCCGUACGUGAGACUCUAAUUUCUCUUCCAGUCAUAAAACACCUUUUUGCCUUUUCCUAAAUCCACAUUUGAGAGCUGCAGUGAAGGAAAAACCCUCAAUCAAAUCUAUAUUUUUAUACAUAUAAGUAACAUUAAAUAUCUCACAUAUCAUAGAGCGUUUGGCCUCAAGAAGUCCUCAGUGUCUCCUUGGUUCAAGACGAGGCCAUCAUCUUCUUCCUGCCCAUGCGUAAUACCAGACAGUGGCCAUGGUGUCUGAAGCUCUGUCAGUAGCAUACUUGAAGCCACCUGAGACUUAUUUUUCCAUUUAAUUGCUGCCAAUUGCAAGAACACCAGAAGCCAUUGGAAACUGGUAUUUUUGGAAAAUUUGGUGUAAUGAAGUUCAAGAUAUACUCAAAAAGUACGAGGUUUCACCAAACGAGUGUGCUUUCCCUCUGUGCGUCCCAUGAAGAUGAAGUUGAGGUAAAGCCUGUGGUACAUUUAUUAGGAGAGCAGAUUUCCUAGGAAGUAUUCCCAGUCCCAAAAAAGGAAAACAGAACUGUGUGCAGCAACGCAUGUGUAUUCUUCACUGCCUCGACAGUUGUGUGCCUUGUGUAUAGCGACAACAUCCACAGGUCCUGCACCCAGAAGACCAUGUGUGGCUAAUAUGCCCAUUCCUUCAGGUUGGAGAGCAAGAAUGAUGGGCCCUCAUUGGCCAGCAGUUGUCACUUCAUGUGGACACUGAGGAUCUGGUGGGCUGCCCCUGCCUUAAGUGGCCCCUUGUCUUUAGCUCUGCUUGACUGAAACAAUUAUGCAUGCUUUGUUAAAUGAAAAUUUGGAACUACCUCCAGCCCGGGACAUUGGUUAUCUGAGGUGAGCUCUUGAACAAGCUAAAGCCUGCCGAGCCCAAGGUCCGAGCUGCUCUUUGCUGUGUGUGGGAAGUAUUUAUAAAACCAAGCCACCUCAGAACCCCAUUGCCAAAGAUUUUGUGGCAAAUAGCAUGUCCCAACUUACCUCAGGGUAGCGUGAGAUUCUCAGCACAUGGGGACCAUGUCCGGCUGGCGGUCCCUGGAAGAGUGGGGUGGCAUGGUUGUGCUUGGGUUCCCAGCCACACUUGCUGUCUGUUCAGGUGAUUGUUUUAUACUCACAACUGAAGAAAUGCUAAGUGAGAAUACUACGUGACAGGGUAAAUUACAGGAGCCACUGAACAGGACUGCUGUGGUGUCGAAAGAUUUCAAGGGAAUUCUCAAGGCCUUUGGGGUGUGUAGUGUAGUGUAGUGUAGUGAUCGCUGGUGCAGUCACAUUAUCAGGACCAGCUUUUACUCUUAACUUUUUUUUUUUGGAAGUAAAACAGAGCAAAUGAAAUUUACAUUCUUGAGGCAAAAGUUAAAGUCUUGACAAAAAUACAGCAUUUGAAACUGAAUUUCCAAAUACAAGGGCUUUUACUUUAGGGGAUGGUGUUUCAAAGUGUGUGUUGUAAUUAGACUGUGUAAGCCAAACAGAUCAGGACAUUAUAAUGAGGAAAAUGUAAUGUGUUUUAAAUACUGUAAUUCAAGUCAUGGGUUCUUAUAAACUGUUAAUGCAACUGUUACCACCAAGAGAUGAAUUACUGUUUUCAAAGGCCAGUGUGAGCUGCUGUCUGAAAGUCUUCAUUUUCUGCAGCAGGUCUUACCAGAGGUCUUCAGGGCUUGUUAGGUCCUCAGCCAGGGAACCUGGGCAGAAGAUAGUCCCACAAGGCACUCUCCAUUGUGAACUGGAGUCCUGGCUUCCUGCUCUGGGGCUCGGUCUUCUCGUUGUGUCAAAAACCCAUUACUCCUGGCAUCCUCCUGCUUUUCCUGAAGCAACUGAGAACCUGGGUUGGGUUUUGUUUUUCUUUGAGAGGAACUCAAAUCUGUCAGUGCUGAGUACCAGUGGCAGAGGGGAGGGAGAGCCUCACACACCUGUCCCCCCUUGCUCACAUGGAUGUUAGCUUUGAGAGAUCUGGAGACAGUGUCUCCAAUGAACUGCUGAAUUGAGAAAUUCUCUCAGAGCAUAGUGUGGUUUUACUGGUGACGAGAGGCCCUGUAUUUAUUUGCUUGUUAACUUUUAUAAACCCCUUACCAAAAUAACCUCACUCUGAAUCUAAGAGGAUUGUUAGGACUCGUAUUUGGGCCCAAGCACUAUUCCAGUAAGGCCUUGGAAUUUUGUUUGUUCACUACAAAUGUGGGAAAAGCAUUCUAUUCUCAUGCAGAAUUCACCUUUUCUUCUUGGGUGGUAGGUGGUGUGGGGUUUGUGCAUCCUCAUAUCUGCAAUCUGUACGAUUACCCGGAGCAUAUAUCAAUACUCUCAAGUGUAGGUCACAGCACAGCUGAAAGCCUCCACCAUCAGGGAGCGUUUGUUGACAGGCCUACUUAGCACGCUGUGUGACAGCCAUCUAAAGCCCCUAUGGGGUUGAUGUUCUCAGGAACCAGUUCUGAAUGUCCUGUGUUAGAGCUCAGGGUUGAGAUCAUGUGAUCUAUCCGGGUUUCUAACACACUAGAAACUCCUCUUAAAAAGUUAGCAGCAGACCAGUGAGAGCGGGACUAAAGGCGUUCACUGGCAAGAGUGUUCUCGGAACUCAUGUGGUAGACAGACCUGACUCCAGCAGAUUGCCCGCACCACACGUGAGCUCUGACACAGGCACACAUGUGUGUGCGUGUGCAGACACUCAGACCAAUAUUUUAAAGCCAGUAAUUAGGGAAUGAUCCGCAGCAUCCUUUGGGUUGGUUUAUAGUCCAAGGAAAAGCUCUUUCUUGGGUUCUGUCUCCAACACCACAAACCAUAGGUAUUUUCUGACACUGGUCAUACACACAUCAGUUUUCUAUUUGUCGUAUCUGAAAAGUGAACAAACAACCCCAGGGAACAGGUUAUUUAUCACUGAUUAUUUUUAAUGAUUUUGUGCUAUGAUUUGACCAUGGCAUUAAGAACAAGCAGAAAACCUGAUUUCAUAACUAACAAACAGCACUUGUGCAACAUCUUUCAUCAAAAGUAUUGCAAUUACAGACCUGAGGUCUAAACCACAUCGCCGCCGGGGCAAAAGAUGCAGGUGGAUGACAGUGGAGAAUCACUGCCCAUAUAUAAGCAGGAGUUAUGUUAAAGAAUAAGCAUAUGGUUGUUUAAACACAAAAGGACUCUGACUUCUGAUCAUCAUAGCUCACAGAGAUCGGAAGGUUCAAAUACAAUUGUAUUUUUUUUUUAGUAGAUUGCUUUAUAAUAAAAAUAAAAUGAACU
rnacentral:lncRNA from 1 species